GCGCCGUUAGUCUAGUGGUGAGGAUACCUCCUUCCCAAAAGGGUAAUAAUCUGCAAGAUUAUAUCUCUUAUCCAUUGGAACAGGUGGGGACCCGGGUUCGAACCCCGGACGGCGCA